UGGGGAAUCUUACGCAAUGCGCGAAAGCGUGACGCAGCAACGCCGCGUGGGGGAAGAAGGCCUUCGGGUUGUAAACCCCUUUCAGUUGGGACGAAGCUUCCACGGUUAAUAGCCGUGUGGAGUGACGGUACCUUCACAAGAAGCCCCGGCUAACUACGUGCCAGCAGCCGCGGUAAUACGUAGGGGGCUAGCGUUGUCCGGAAUCAUUGGGCGUAAAGCGCGUGUAGGCGGCCCGGUAAGUCCGCUGUGAAAGUCGGGGGCUCAACCCUCGGAUGCCGGUGGAUACUGUCGGGCUUGAGUACGGAAGAGGCGAGUGGAAUUCCUGGUGUAGCGGUGAAAUGCGCAGAUAUCAGGAGGAACACCGAUUGCGAAGGCAGCUCGCUGGGACGUUACUGACGCUGAGACGCGAAAGCGUGGGGAGCAAACAGG
rnacentral:rRNA from 1 species